CCUACGGGAGGCAGCAGUGAGGAAUAUUGGUCAAUGGACGCAAGUCUGAACCAGCCAAGCCGCGUGAAGGAUGACGGCCCUAAGGUUUGUAAACUUCUUUUAUAUGGGAAUAAAACCUUCCACGUGUGUCUGUUCGUCUGUACCUGACGAAUAAGCAUCGGCUAACUCCGUGCCAGCAGCCGCGGUAAUACGGAGGGUGCGAGCGUUUUCCGGAUUUAUUGGGGUUAAAGGGUGUGUAGGUGGGUUGUUAAGUCAGUGGUGAAAGGCCGGGGGUGAACCCUGUAAGUGCAGUUGAAACUGGCAGUCUUGAGUAGAGGAGAGGUAGGCGGAAUGCGCGGUGUAGCGGUGAAAUGCUUAGAUAUCACGAAGAACUCCGAUUGCGAAGGCAGUUUACCGGACGGCAACUGACGCUGAGGCACGAAAGUGUGGGUAUCAAACAGGAUUAGAUACCCCUGUAGUC
rnacentral:rRNA from 1 species